UACGUAGGUGGCAAGCGUUAUCCGGAAUUAUUGGGCGUAAAGCGCGCGUAGGCGGUUUUUUAAGUCUGAUGUGAAAGCCCACGGCUCAACCGUGGAGGGUCAUUGGAAACUGGAAAACUUGAGUGCAGAAGAGGAAAGUGGAAUUCCACGUGUAGCGGUGAAAUGCGUAGAUAUGUGGAGGAACACCAGUGGCGAAGGCGACUUUCUGGACUGUAACUGACGCUGAGGCGCGAAAGCGUGGGGAGCAAACAGG
rnacentral:rRNA from 1 species